AUUGAACGCUGGCGGCAUGCCUUACACAUGCAAGUCGAACGGCAGCACGGGAGCAAUCCUGGUGGCGAGUGGCGAACGGGUGAGUAAUAUGUCGGAACGUGCCCGGUCGUGGGGAUAACGUAGCGAAAGCUACGCUAAUACCGCAUACGAUCUACGGAUGAAAGCGGGGGAUCGCAAGACCUCGCGCGAUUGGAGCGGCCGAUAUCAGAUUAGGUAGUUGGUGAGGUAAAGGCUCACCAAGCCGACGAUCUGUAGCUGGUCUGAGAGGACGACCAGCCACACUGGGACUGAGACACGGCCCAGACUCCUACGGGAGGCAGCAGUGGGGAAUUUUGGGACAAUGGGCGCAAGCCUGAUCCAGCAAUGCCGCGUGCAGGAUGAAGGCCUCGGUUGUAAC
rnacentral:rRNA from 1 species